ACUUAUUCUUUUUCCGAUUGCCUAGCCUUACGCACGCAUUUUUUGUUUCAGUGUUUCUAUUUGUGUAUGUUGGACAAAUCACUGGCAUCGAUUUCAUGUGAAUCACAUUUGGAGACAGUUUAAGUGUUCCAAAGGUUUCUCAAACUUCCAGAACGGUAUGUAUUAUCUAAGUUACUGAUUCAAGUGAGUUCCAGAUAACUUUUUUCUCUCAAUUUGCUUUUGUUAUCGAUCUAUAGCUUCAGAGUGAUAAUUUCCAUUCGUGAAGAAACCUCAGUUCACGAGUUGACGUAAAUUAAAGUUAACCGUCACGUGUGGUGUGUAUCAUUUUAUUCAGUACGCUGGGAAUUUAUUUCGGCUCAGGUUGGCAAAGUUCUCUUGUAUUUAUCUAAGAGUGAUGGCUGGUUUUUACUUAACGCUAUCAUACUUGAAUGAAGUGAGAAGCGAUUCUUUAUUGAUCACUAGAAAGUGAGCUGAGAGAAUGGAAUUCAAUGUUAAGAGACCUUAUUAAGUAAGAUUAUCAUAACUAAUUACCUCGGACG